AAGGGUCUAGCUCAGUGGUAGAGUGCAUGCUUAGCAUGUGCAAGGUCCUGGGUUCAAUCCCCAGUACCUCCA
rfam:Camelus ferus unplaced genomic scaffold scaffold303, whole genome shotgun sequence.